rnacentral:rRNA from 1 species
UCGGAUCGCAGGCUGCAACUCGCCUGCGUCAAGUUGGAAUUGCUAGUAAUCGCGGAUCAGCAUGCCGCGGUGAAUACGUUCCCGGGCCUUGUACACACCGCCCGUCACACCAUGAGAGUCGGGAACACCCGAAGUCCGUAGUCUAACCGCAAGGAGGGCGCGGCCGAAGGUGGGUUCGAUAAUUGGGGUGAAGUCGUAACAAGGUAUC